rnacentral:misc_RNA from 1 species
UCUCCGUUGGUGAACCAGUGGAGGGAUCAUUACCGAGUUUACAACUCCCAAACCCCAUGUGAACCUUACCAAACGUUGCUUCGGCGGGAUGCCCCGGGCGCGGGCCGCAAGGCCUCAGCCCCGGAACCAGGCGCCCGCCGGAGGCCCAAACCAAACUCUUGUUUUUGUAGAAUCUUCUGAGUGGCCUUUUAGGCAAAAAAUGAAUCAAAACUUUCAACAACGGAUCUCUUGGUUCUG